AUGCCCGAAUGCAAAGCAACGCAGAUGGAGGCCAUUCUGGGGGUAGCAAAGCUCACCUCUCAGUGAAGAGACUCAGACACACGAAGGCCAAGUGGAGGCUGUAGUUCAUGUUGAGAAGCUGCUCACACCAAGGGGCUGAAGUAGGAAUCACCUGGGAAACAGGGGGCAAGGUAAGUGGAAGGCCGUGCAACAGGCUCACCUGCUCCUGGCCAGCCUCUCUCUCUGGUGGGUGGUCGGUACAGCAUUUUCUCAGCAUGCAUAGGAAGCAGCCUCUUUCCAUACCUUUCGGUUACAGCUCCUUCUCCCUGUGUUCCCUCCAGGAAUGACUUCAUUUUGGAGGAUUAUGUUUUUUUUUUUUUUAAUUUUUUAUUUUUUUUAAACAGGGCCUCACUCUGUCAUCCAGGCUGAAGUGCAGGGACAUGAUCUCGGUUCACUGCAGCUCAACUUCCCAGGCUCCAGCGAUGCUCCCAACCUUAGCCUCCUGAGUAGCUGGGACUACAGGUGACAAAAAAUACCGCUGUGGCCUGGAUCCUAUGUGGGGGCUGGCAAUGGUAAGUUCGGAGCAGGUCAAGACCAACCUUGUUUCUCUGGAAAACGCUGUGCAUCUCUCCAGGUAGGUCCCUUGCGGCUUCCUCCCGAACACUCUGUGCAUUGUGGUCAUUCCUAGUU
rnacentral:lncRNA from 1 species